CCCUUCAGAGGGGGACAACAGUUGGAAACGACUGCUAAUACCGCAUACGAUCUAAUCUCGGCAUCGAGGAUAGAUGAAAGGUGGCCUCUAUUUAUAAGCUAUCACUGAAGGAGGGGAUUGCGUCUGAUUAGCUAGUUGGAGGGGUAACGGCCCACCAAGGCGAUGAUCAGUAGCCGGUCUGAGAGGAUGAACGGCCACAUUGGGACUGAGACACGGCCCAG
rnacentral:rRNA from 1 species